UAUCAUCAAUACCAUGCUUAUACUCAUCACAGUGAGAGUAUGCACGGGAAAGGGAAUUAUUAGACUACUACACAUAGUUAAUCACAGUAAAUGGAUUUGGAAGAACACGCCACUCUAAACCCCCUCGUCAUUGUAGGAUAAUCGUGUAAUUAAAAGAUUUUAUUAGGCUAUUGCAGUUGUAUUACCAUGUAGUUGAGUGCAGAGCUGGGAGGGUAAAUUAGACACUUUGUGUUUUAGACACAGAGUGGCCUAUUUAGCAGUGUGUGUUUUUGCUGUGUGUGAGACAGUUAGUUCUGCAGAUAAGCACCUCACUCUACCUCUCAGACUUAAAGGGGCUAUAUUUCCAACACUUCUUCUCUUCUACUGAAGUUAGCAUGCUAAUUGGCUAGCCUGGCCUGGUUGCCUCACCUUGUCAAGACCCCGCUCAGCUGCACACAAUGAACCACACAGUGACAGCAGGGUGGCCGACAUACAGGCCGCAUGCUACAUCUGUUUCCAGUGACAAGCAUCAGGAUGAGAACCUGUGAGCUCACAGGAUGUAUUAACUAUGACAGGAUGCAGGUGUCCAAAAUUAGCAGGAAGCGAGUCUAAUUUUAAAGAGCAUCUUGUUUCCAGACACGCAUCCCAUUUCAAACAGGCUACAACUUAUCUUCCAGUGACAGAGGAAGUGUGAUAGUCGUGUUGUUUGGUGAGGGGAAAAGGUAAAUUAUUUUGGUAUAAAUAUCAGGAAUAAUGAACUGCAUCAUGUCUGAUUCAAAUAUUCAUGUCUAAAUACAUGAAAACAACUGAUAGUCCAUAAUAUUAGUCCAUGUAAACACACAAAUUCCCACUUAAAGGGGCACGCCACUAAUUUAAAACAUCAAGAUGAGUAUAUUUAUGAGUUUAUGAGUACUGCUCAGCUGAUGAAAACAACUGUAUAUUGUUCUGGUUGGCUCUGGCCUAGCUUUGUCGAGUCUUGAGGUGUGUUGAGACAGACAGCAAAGCACAUUUUGCUUUGUGUAUGAAUCUGACUGCCCAGUGUACCAACUGCACAGAUAUUAGCUGUAAGCUAACUAGAAAUGGACGCACUGACCGUGUGUGUUUGUGUGGCAGCUCAGCCUUUAACUGAUCCCAGAAACUCUAGCUCUUUCUGUCAUUUGCCUCCAGUCUCUCUUUUUUAUUCUCAUCUCUGUACAUUUAUAAAGCAUAUUUUUUAAAACUUUGUCCAACUCACAUAGACACGUCUUUACCUCAAUUUAGCAAAAUUGCCUCUAAUUCCACCCACACCUUCUCAAGUGGCAUCAUUUGAGUGCAUAUAUCUUAGGCUUGGAGACUGCAGAUGUUAAACCGAAAGCCUGCUUUAGACACAGGGGAUGUCAAGUUAGAGAGACAUGGGCAUUUACCUCUAAAGAAGGAUUUCAACGAAAAGAUUCUGUCAAGUUAAAUUCUGGGAAGUGUAGGAUCCAGUUUUUGGAGCUUGAUCAACACUGCUGAUUUGAUUUGGUCCAGUAUUCUUUUAUACAUCUCUUGUGAAGCCACCAACUUUGCCUUGCAUUUCAUUCUUAUGUGCUGUGUAGUGAAAUCAAUGAGGUCAAUGAGGUAAUGAAGGUUAUAUGUUUAGUGGGAUAAUCCUUACCUCAUCUGUUCACCAUGGUGACUUUAACCCUCUGGCUGCUCAGAGUCCUGAAAACCUGCAGAGGUCAUGACCUUUCAAAGUAGCAUAGCCCCGCAGAAGGAGGGAUGAUAUUAAAGGUCAUUUGAGUGUGACCUUGUCAGGUCCAUUUAAAAUAACCUAUAUGUCGAUUUGCAUGUGCUGUAUCUGAAGGACACAUAGAUUUAUAUCUAUAGGAGCACUCACACAUACACUUCUCGCUCUCGCACCCACAAACAGAGGUCCUAUCUGGCCUCUUCAAAGACCACCGCAUGGACCGUAGAGCACUUGUUUUCAUUCAGUGAGCCUUGGAGACCUUUCUGUCAGCUCCUCAAGUCUCUCAAUGGCUCUAAACAGGAUUUAACCCCUGGAAGGUCAGGGUGAGGUCAGUGGAAUAAAGGCAGCUCCAGGAUUUACCUUCCUCCUCUAUCAACCAGUCACCAUGUCCACAUGUGACAUAUUGUUUUUAAAGCCUGUCUCAAGGCUUUAAGGUCUGGUUUUGGUCAGAGGUGGAUAAGAGAUGUUCUUUUUCUCAGCAGAGCAGAAAUGUCACCUAGCACAGAAAUGGUGAGGGUAGAAAACAGGAAAGUACCUGAGGAUCAGCUGAAGUAAGAAUCUGAUUCACUAGCAGGGAUAUCUUUUAGUCCCAGUUGCUGGUGUUUGUCUGUCUCACUUGGCGUGGAAAAACAACUUUGGGAUGAAUCGGUACAACAUUUGUACAGAUUCAUGAUGUCCAAAGAAUGAAUUCUGCUGACUUUGAUGAUCCCCCCUGACUUUUCAUCUAUAGCCUCCAUGACAUUUGUGAUUCUGAGUGAAUUU